rnacentral:rRNA from 1 species
AGAACGAACGCUGGCGGCAGGCUUAACACAUGCAAGUCGAACGGGCGUAGCAAUACGUCAGUGGCAGACGGGUGAGUAACACGUGGGAACCUUCCUAGGGGUACGGAACAACUCAGGGAAACUUGAGCUAAUACCGUAUACGUCCGUAAGGAGAAAGAUUCAUCGCCCCUAGACGGGCCCGCGUCGGAUUAGGUAGUUGGUGGGGUAACGGCCUACCAAGCCUACGAUCCGUAGCUGAUCUGAGAGGAUGAUCAGCCACACUGGGACUGAGACACGGCCCAGACUCCUACGGGAGGCAGCAGUGGGGAAUCUUGGACAAUGGGCGCAAGCCUGAUCCAGCCAUGCCGCGUGAGUGAAGAAGGCCUUAGGGUUGUAAAGCUCUUUUACCAGGACGAUAAUGACGGUACCUGGAGAAUAAGCCCCGGCAAACUUCGUGCCAGCAAGCCGC